CGUAAGGCGCCGAAUGAGUCAUUAAAAAAUUAACAUCAUCCGAUCCCUAGUCGGCAUAGUUUAUGGUUAAGACUACGACGGUAUCUGAUCGUCUUCGAUCCCCUAACUUUCGUUCUUGAUUAAUGAAAACAUCCUUGGCAAAUGCUUUCGCAGUAGUUAGUCUUCAAUAAAUCCAAGAAUUUCACCUCUGACAAUUGAAUACUAAUGCCCCCAACUAUCCCUAUUAAUCAUUACGUCAAUCCUAGAAACCAACAAAAUAGGAUCGAACGUCCUAUUUCAUUAUUCCAUGCUAAUGUAUUCAAGCGUUAGCUUGCUUUAAACACUCUAAUUUUUCAAAGUAACAGUCCAAAUUCCCAAAACACAAAAUUAAUGGCAUUAAGGUUCAUCAGGAAGGAGGAAUCAGUGAGAUCAGUACAUACCAGAGGCAUGACCAACCUAUUAACCCCG
rnacentral:rRNA from 1 species